GAUUAUGGCUCAGGAUGAACGCUAGCGACAGGCUUAACACAUGCAAGUCGAGGGGCAGCAUAAAAGUAGCAAUACUUUGGUGGCGACCGGCGCACGGGUGAGUAACGCGUAUGCAACCUACCUAUCAGAGGGGAAUAACCCGGCGAAAGUCGGACUAAUACCGCAUAAAACAGGGGCACCGCAUGGUGAUAUUUGUUAAAGAAAUUCGCUGAUAGAUGGGCAUGCGUUCCAUUAGGUAGUUGGUGAGGUAACGGCUCACCAAGCCGACGAUGGAUAGGGGAACUGAGAGGUUGGUCCCCCACACUGGUACUGAGACACGGACCAGACUCCUACGGGAGGCAGCAGUGAGGAAUAUUGGUCAAUGGGCGAGAGCCUGAACCAGCCAAGUCGCGUGAAAGGAAGAAGGAUCUAUGGUUCGUAAACUUCUUUUGCAGGGGAAUAAAGUGCAGGACGUGUCCUGUUUUGUAUGUACCCUGAGAAUAAGGAUCGGCUAACUCCGUGCCAGCAGCGGC
rnacentral:rRNA from 1 species